GAAGCGUGUUUUUGCUGAUUUCUUCAUCAGAAGAUUCUGAUGCUGUUGGGGAAAGCUGGACAGGGAGACUUACCAUUAAGUUUUAUCAUCGCCUAACAGACAGCUCCGGAUCCAGCUCCACAAUAAGCUGAAAAAGAGAGUUUGCAAUUAAAUCAUUUAUAUUCUGAAUUAGGAUCAAACUUAUGUGCAAAGAACAUUAUGAACAUGAAAGAGAUUUUCAUCAUUUUGCUGAAUCUGUCUUUGGUCUUCAGUGACCAAGCCGUUACUGGUAGUGUCUCAAUGAAGAGCUUGAGCUGCGACAAUGACUACAGCUCACACAUGACGUGCAAAUGGAAAGAGCAUAAAGAGGCUCAUGACCUCCUUCGUAUAACUCUUUACCAAAAUGAUGGCAUUCAGAAUGAGAACAAGAUGCCUUGCGUACGUGAUCCAGAACGUGCCUUACCUGAGACUUCAGACCCCUACAUCUUCUGGGUUUGUCGGAAAAAUAUAGAAUAUUUUGGAAUAGGGAUAAACCAUAUUUACAGCUUCAAACAUAACAAGACUCUUGAAACACAACUAAAUGUUAAUCUUUUCCAAAAUGGUAAGGAAUUAAUGCCAAGUUCUAUUUUCCAAUGAAUAUUUGAGAUCUUUGAGAACGUUUUUGCAGAUCAGUCAGGAAGUGAAUUGCAAUUAGACUGUGAAAACGGCCAAACAGUUCUACAUUGAGAGGAUGUG
rnacentral:lncRNA from 1 species